UAUUCUCUGGCAACUUCGAUGACCAAUUGAGUCAAAUAUUCCACAGAUUUUUCAUUAUUUUUAUGCAUGUGACGGUCAUGAACUAUUACAUAUGCCCACAGUCUAUUUUUGAUUUAACUUCACCCUCGUAAUACCUCCAUAAGCGCCCUCCAGCGAUCUCAUUUUCGCGGGCUUUCAGUUCAUAAGAUCCUUAGACGAAGAUCUCAUCACACUGUAUUUAUCUUCGUCAACAGAUUCAUGAGUGUAAAUAAACUACUGGAAAGCUAACAACUGAACAGCCGUGUCAAUCUUGAAUACAGUCAGAGGGGUCACAUGCAUAUGUUGGGAUAGGCCUACACCAAGUGAUAAUACUGGGCCUUGACAAGACCACAGUGCCUUUAAGUACGAUAAUGUAUUGUGCUUUAACGCUAGAAGAGUAUGAUAUUCUAAUUAUUUGAUUAAAAGGUGUGAUGGUGAUUGUCAUGUUAA